UCUAGGCGGUCAAUUGACCGGUCUCGAACGUGAAAUAAAAUGUUCACCGAAUUUGUGUCUCAAUAAGUCAAUUGUUACGCGUACAGUGUGGCAUAUGGUACCGUCUUGUUGAAAACAACUCCCAUGAAAGUCAAGCUUAUGAAUUUUGGGCAAAAAAAGCUUCGCAUUAUCUUUGAAGAAACACGGUCAAAUGACGCCACCAGCCCAUAAACAGCACCAAACUGUGACUUUCCCGAAUUCAUUGAAAGCUUUUACAAUGCUUCUGGCUGAUAUUCCCUCCAAAAUCGAUAAGUCUGCUUACUUACGUACCCAUUGAGUCAUCCGGCGGCUCAAUAGGUCCUCCUUGAUGGUCCAUGGAAAGUAUACCCGAAAGUAUACCCAUGUAUUCCAAGGAAAUUUUAUCUAGAAUCGUUUAAAAAAUUUCAAAGCGAUCCAACAAAUAGUUCAGUUUCUAUUGAGAUUUUAAUGUGUUUAGUACGGGAACGUGUGAAAGGUCCGCUGGUCAUUGUCAUCAGUACAAGGAACAGCGGACCUUUUCACACGUUCCCGUACUAAACAUAUUUAAAUCUCAUAUUUAAAUGUACUGUCUUUUGGCUUGUUUUCCGGAACCAGUAGGGACGAAAUAAGAUCCCUUUACCAUAUUCCGCUCGCUCAUCACCGAAGUCAUGGCGUACAUCAUAAUACGCGAAUCAAAUCGGAAAGGCAGAGAAGUGAAAGCUGCAUGGCAUUUGGUAGCUCCAACUAACACGUAGGAAUAGAAACCAAUCACUUUGAAAAGAGUUCGAUGCUUUCUUGGCUAUUAUUUUGAAUGCUGAACUCACUUAAUCGAAUAGUGAACUUCUUUAUGAUAUUUGGCAAAUGUUGCAGUCUAACUUGGCAGCAGCUUACACUCCGCAUGAUGCAGUGACCGUUGAUGAGCAGUUAUUCCCAUACAGAGGCCGCACCCGCUUCACACAAUAUAUUCCAUCGAAGCCUGCCAAGUUAGGUAUAAAGAUAUGGUGGUUGUGCGACUCAAAAUCAUUUUAUCUUGUCAAAGGAAUAAUUUACUCUGGGAAAUUAUCUGACCAGACACGAGAGGUGAAUCAUGGUCAGAAAAUUGUACUUCAACUUUCGGAAAGAUAUUUGAAUACACAUUUGAAAACUGCAUAUGGUGAAAAAGUUCGCUCGAAUAAGACAUGUGUGCUUCGGGAAUUCCAAAAAAUCAUACGCGUCCUUUUAACAGCACAUUGUUCGGCUUCAACAAAGGCGAUAUAAACAAAACGACAAUUUUGCUGUCGAUAUAACAUUAUACUUGCUGUGUGCACAUGCAAACUAAAAAGAAGAAGCCGUUUGCUACAUGGAUUACGACUCCAAUAAAUCGAGAGUUGAUACAAUGGACCAGAUGCUUGACACAUAUACAUGGAAGCGCUCAAUCAAUCGCUGGAUAUUGGCCAUGUUUUAUAAUAUGGUGGACAUUUCUGCAUUAGCUACAUUUAUUUCAUACAACGAGAUGAAGUCAAUAAAAGAAAAAAAGAAACUGACAAAACAAUUGGCACUUCCAAACAUAGAAGAAUGAGCGCUGAAAAACCUUAUAACUGCAUAUCCAAGGAUGUGGAACGCAAUGGAAGCAUUUGAUGUAAUGAUGUUAUCAAUACCGACAGAAGGAACUGCGCCGUCGUUUGCGUCUAGAACGAACAGACCGUCCUGUUGCCUAUGUCGUUCUGAGUUCGGACGGCAGCGGAAAACAAGGGCCUAUUGCAAUUCCUGUAACAAUUCAGUUUGUGCAGAGCAUUCAACACUAAUGCAUCGAUGCUACACCUGCACAGACAAUAGAUUUUUAGACUCAUGGAUUCGAACCCAGGCGUUCAGCGUCAUAGGCGGACAUGCUAGCCUCUUCGCUACGGUGGUCUCCGUAUGU
rnacentral:sRNA from 1 species